AUUGAACGCUGGCGGAAUGCUUUACACAUGCAAGUCGAACGGCAGCGCGGACUUCGGUCUGGUGGCGAGUGGCGAACGGGUGAGUAAUGUAUCGGAACGUGCCCAGUCGUGGGGGAUAACGUAGUGAAAAUUACGCUAAUACCGCAUACGAUCUAUGGAUGAAAGCGGGGGAUCGCAAGACCUCGCGCGAUUGGAGCGGCCGAUAUCAGAUUAGGUAGUUGGUGGGGUAAAGGCCCACCAAGCCAACGAUCUGUAGCUGGUCUGAGAGGACGACCAGCCACACUGUAACUGAGACACGGUCCAGACUCCUACGGGAGGCAGCAGUGGGGAAUGUUGGACAAUGGGCGAAAGCCUGAUCCAGCCACUCCGCGUGCAGGAUGAAGGCCCUCGGGUUGUAAACUGCUUUUGUACAGAACGAAAAGGUUUCUACUAAUACUAGGAGCUCAUGACGGUACUGUAAGAAUAAGCACCGGCUAACUACGUGCCAGCAGCCGCAGUAA
rnacentral:rRNA from 1 species